UUCUUAUCCAGAGAGGUGGAGGGACUGGCCCUUUGAAACCUCAGCAACAGAUUUUUAAAUACUGUGCUAAUUCCAGAAGUGUAAAACUUGGAGAUAGGAA
rnacentral:ncRNA from 1 species